UACAGAGGUCCCAAGCGUUGUUCGGAUUCACUGGGCGUAAAGGGUGCGUAGGUGGCCAGGUAAGUUUGAUGUGAAAGCUCGGAGCUUAACUCCGAAAUGGCAUUAAAUACUAUCUGGCUUGAGGGUCGGAGGGGAGACUGGAAUUCUCGGUGUAGCAGUGAAAUGCGUAGAUAUCGAGAGGAACACCAGUGGCGAAGGCGAGUCUCUGGACGACAUCUGACACUGAGGCACGAAAGCUAGGGGAGCAAACAGG
rnacentral:rRNA from 1 species